rnacentral:tRNA from 1 species
GCCGAAGUGGCGGAAUUGGCAGACGCGCCAGACUCAAAAUCUGGUGAGUGGGUGACACUCGUGCGGGUUCGACUCCCGCCUUCGGCACCA